GACGAACGCUGGCGGCGUGCUUAACACAUGCAAGUCGAACGGUGAAGCGCCUUCCUUUUUGGUGGGUGUGGAUGAGUGGCGAACGGGUGAGUAACACGUGAGUAGCCUGCCCCCUUCUUCUGGAUAACCGCAUGAAAGUGUGGCUAAUACGGGAUAUUCUGGGUCUGUCGCAUGAUGGGUCUGGGAAAGAUAUUGUUUCGGUGGGGGAUGGGCUCGCGGCCUAUCAGCUUGUUGGUGGGGUGAUGGCCUACCAAGGCGGUGACGGGUAGCCGGCCUGAGAGGGUGGACGGUCACACGGGGACUGAGACACGGCCCAGACUCCUACGGGAGGCAGCAGUGGGGAAUAUUGCACAAUGGGCGCAAGCCUGAUGCAGCGACGCCGCGUGAGGGAUGGAGGCCUUCGGGUUGUGAACCUCUUUCGCCAGUGAAGCAGGCCUGCCUCGUUUGUGGGUGGGUUGACGGUAGCUGGAUAAGAAGCGCCGGCUAACUACGUG
rnacentral:rRNA from 1 species